rnacentral:rRNA from 1 species
AGUGAACGCUGGCGGUAGGCCUAACACAUGCAAGUCGAACGGCAGCACAGUAAGAGCUUGCUCUUACGGGUGGCGAGUGGCGGACGGGUGAGGAAUACAUCGGAAUCUACUUUUUCGUGGGGGAUAACGUAGGGAAACUUACGCUAAUACCGCAUACGACCUACGGGUGAAAGCAGGGGAUCUUCGGACCUUGCGCGAUUGAAUGAGCCGAUGUCGGAUUAGCUAGUUGGCGUGGUAAAGGCCCACCAAGGCGACGAUCCGUAGCUGGUCUGAGAGGAUGAUCAGCCACACUGGAACUGAGACUCGGUACAGACUCCUACGGGAGGCAGCAGUGGGGAAUAUUGGACAAUGGGCGCAAGCCUGAUCCAGCCAUACCGCGUGAGUGAAGAAGGCCUUCGGGUUGUAAAGACCUUUUGUUGGGAAAGAAAAGCAGCAGGUUAAUACCCCGCUGUUCUGACGGUACCCAAAGAAUAAGCACCGGCUAACUUCGUG